AUGGAAAUCUCUGUAAUUUUUAGAUAGUAUAGGGGCGG
rnacentral:tRNA from 1 species